CUGACCUCAAAUCAGGUAGGACUACCCGCUGAACUUAAGCAUAUCAAUAAGCGGAGGAAAAGAAACUAACAAGGAUUCCCCUAGUAACUGCGAGUGAAGCGGGAAAAGCUCAAAUUUAAAAUCUGACGGUUUCACCGUCCGAGUUGUAAUCUGGAGAAGCGUUUUCCGUGUCGGACCGUGCACAAGUCUCUUGGAACAGAGCGUCAUAGAGGGUGAGAAUCCCGUUUUAUGGCACGGACACCCGAUACUUUGUGAUACGUUUUCUAAGAGUCGAGUUGUUUGGGAAUGCAGCUCAAAAUGGGUGGUAAAUUCCAUCUAAAGCUAAAUAUAGGCGAGAGACCGAUAGCGAACAAGUACCGUGAGGGAAAGAUGAAAAGCACUUUGGAAAGAGAGUUAAACAGUACGUGAAAUUGUUGAAAGGGAAACGCUUGAAGUCAGUCGCGUCUUCUAGGACUCAGCCUUACUUCGGUUAGGUGUACUUCCUGGUUUGACGGGUCAACAUCGAUUUUGAUCGACGGAUAAAGGAGAAGGGAACGUGGCACCUCCGGGUGUGUUAUAGCCCUCUUCGUAUACGUCGAUUGGGAUCGAGGACUGCAGCA
rnacentral:rRNA from 1 species